UACUAUGCAAAAUGUCCUAAAGGCACCAGAUACCAUCUGAUCUUGGAAGCUUAGCAGGGUUAGCAAUAGUUUGUACUUGGACAGGAGACUACCAGUGAAUACUACGUGCUGUAGAAU
rnacentral:rRNA from 1 species